GACGAACGCUGGCGGCGUGCUUAACACAUGCAAGUCGAACGGUAAGGCCCUUCGGGGUACACGAGUGGCGAACGGGUGAGGAACACGUGGGUGAUCUGCCCUGAACUUCGGGAUAAGCCCGGGAAACUGGGGCUUAUACCAGAUAGGACCACUGCCCGCAUGGGUGGUGGUGGAAAGCUAUUGCGGUGUGGGAUGGGACCGCGGCGUAUCAGCUUGUUGGUGGGGUGAGGGCCUACCAAGGCGACGACGGGUAGCCGGCCUGAGAGGGUGACCGGCCACACUGGGACUGAGAUACGGCCCAGACUCCUACGGGAGACAGCAGUGGGGAAUAUUGCACAAGGGGCGCAAGCCUGAUGCAGCGACGCCGCGUGAGGGAUGACGGCCUUCGGGUUGUAAACCUCUUUCAGCACCGACGAAGCGCAAGUGACGGUAGGUGCAGAAGAAGGACCGGCCAACUACGUGCCAGCCGCCGCCGUAA
rnacentral:rRNA from 1 species